rnacentral:rRNA from 1 species
GAUGAACGCUGGCGGCGUGCUUAACACAUGCAAGUCGAACGAUGAAGCCCAGCUUGCUGGGUGGUUUAGUGGCGAACGGGUGAGUAACACCUAAGUAACUUCCUCUUAACUCUGGGUUACGCCCGGGAAACGGGGCUUAUUACGGGUAAGGCGCGUCCACCGCAGGGUGGGUGUUGGAAAGCUUUAGCGGUAUUGGAUGGCCUCGCGGCCUAUCCGCUUGUUGGGGAGGUAAUGGUACACAAAGGCCACGACGGGUAUCCGGCCUGAGAGGGUGACCGGCGACACUGGAACUGAGACACGGCCCAGACGCCUACGGGAGGCAGCAGUGGGGAAUAUUGCACAAUGGUCGCAAGCCUGAUGCGGCGACGCCGCGUGAGUGAUGACGGCCUUCGGGUUGUAAACCGCUUUCAGUAGGGAAGAAGCGAAAGUGACGGUACCUGCAGAAGAAGCACCGGCUAACUACGUG